rnacentral:rRNA from 1 species
UCCUAUGGCCAUGCCAUCCUGAACACACUGGAUCUUGUCUGAUCUCAGAAGCUAAGCAGGCUCAGGCCUGGUUAGUACUUGAAUGGGAGACCACCUAGGAAUACCAGGUGCUGUAGGCU